AUUGAACGCUGGCGGCAUGCUUUACACAUGCAAGUCGAACGGUAACAGGCCUUCGGGCGCUGACGAGUGGCGAACGGGUGAGUAAUGCAUCGGAACGUGCCCAGUCGUGGGGGAUAACGCAGCGAAAGCUGUGCCAAUACCGCAUACGAUCUGUGGAUGAAAGCGGGGGACCUUCGGGCCUCGCGCGAUUGGAGCGGCCGAUGUCAGAUUAGGUAGUUGGUGGGGUAAAGGCUCACCAAGCCAACGAUCUGUAGCUGGUCUGAGAGGACGACCAGCCACACGGGGACUGAGACACGGCCCAGACUCCUACGGGAGGCAGCAGUGGGGAAUUUUGGACAAUGGGCGCAAGCCUGAUCCAGCAAUGCCGCGUGCAGGAAGAAGGCCUUCGGGUUGUAAACUGCUUUGUACGGAACGAAACGGUCCUGGUUAAUACCUGGGGCUAAUGACGGUACCGUAAGAAUAAGCACCGGCUAACUACGUGCCAGCCGCCGCCGUAAGAC
rnacentral:rRNA from 1 species